rnacentral:tmRNA from 1 species
GGGGGUGUUCCGGAAUUCGACUGUUAAUCGUAGUUUGUGUCUGCGCGUCGAAGACGGCACUUGGCUUCGUAAAAAUGUGCCACAAAAAACAUAAAUGGCGAAGAAUACGCUAUUGCUGCUUAAUUAACGCGGCACGUCCGCCCUCCGACACCCGAUAGGAGAGGUCGGGCGACGACAUCGGGAAAAGGGAUUCGCGUUGCUUCUCGGGGGCGCGGGUCGCCACAAACUCGGGAAUGCUUGCCGAACGGCGGUUCGAGCCCAAUUCGGCAAAAAGAUUAAGACGAAACUACACGCGUAGAGGGCAUAUCCGAAAGUUAUCAGGACAGGGGUUCGACUCCCCUCACCUCCACCA